AAUGAACGUUGGCGGCGUGGAUUAGGCAUGCAAGUCGUGCGAGAAACCAAUUAAGCUUGCUAUGAGGUGGACAGCGGCGAAAGGGAGAGUAACGCGUGGUUACGUGCCCUCGGGACCGGGAUAGUGUCGGGAAACUGGCAGUAAUACCGGAUAACAUCUUUGGAUCAAAUGGUGUGAUUCCGCCCGAGGAUCGGACCGCGUACUAUUAGCUUGUUGGCGGGGUAACGGCCCACCAAGGCUGCGAUGGUUACCGGGUGUGAGAGCAUGGCCCGGCUCACUGGGACUGAGACACUGCCCAGACAUCUACGGAUGGCUGCAGUCGAGAAUCUUCGGCAAUGGACGAAAGUCUGACCGAGCGACGCCGCGUGCGGGAUGAAGGCCCUCGGGUUGUAAACCGCUGUCAGUUAGGAGGAAAUGCAUGAGGGUUCUCUCUCAUGUUUGACCGAUUUUCAGAGGAAGGACGGGCUAAGUUCGUG
rnacentral:rRNA from 1 species